UUAAGCGACUAAGCGUACACGGUGGAUGCCCUGGCAGUCAGAGGCGAUGAAGGACGUGCUAAUCUGCGAUAAGCGUCGGUAAGGUGAUAUGAACCGUUAUAACCGGCGAUUUCCGAAUGGGGAAACCCAGUGUGUUUCGACACACUAUCAUUAACUGAAUCCAUAGGUUAAUGAGGCGAACCGGGGGAACUGAAACAUCUAAGUACCCCGAGGAAAAGAAAUCAACCGAGAUUCCCCCAGUAGCGGCGAGCGAACGGGGAGCAGCCCAGAGCCUGAAUCAGUAUGUGUGUUAGUGGAAGCGUCUGGAAAGGCGCGCGAUACAGGGUGACAGCCCCGUACACAAAAAUGCACAUAUUGUGAGCUCGAUGAGUAGGGCGGGACACGUGGUAUCCUGUCUGAAUAUGGGGGGACCAUCCUCCAAGGCUAAAUACUCCUGACUGACCGAUAGUGAACCAGUACCGUGAGGGAAAGGCGAAAAGAACCCCGGCGAGGGGAGUGAAAAAGAACCUGAAACCGUGUACGUACAAGCAGUGGGAGCACGCUUAGGCGUGUGACUGCGUACCUUUUGUAUAAUGGGUCAGCGACUUAUAUUCUGUAGCAAGGUUAACCGAAUAGGGGAGCCGAAGGGAAACCGAGUCUUAACUGGGCGUUAAGUUGCAGGGUAUAGACCCGAAACCCGGUGAUCUAGCCAUGGGCAGGUUGAAGGUUGGGUAACACUAACUGGAGGACCGAACCGACUAAUGUUGAAAAAUUAGCGGAUGACUUGUGGCUGGGGGUGAAAGGCCAAUCAAACCGGGAGAUAGCUGGUUCUCCCCGAAAGCUAUUUAGGUAGCGCCUCGUGAAUUCAUCUCCGGGGGUAGAGCACUGUUUCGGCAAGGGGGUCAUCCCGACUUACCAACCCGAUGCAAACUGCGAAUACCGGAGAAUGUUAUCACGGGAGACACACGGCGGGUGCUAACGUCCGUCGUGAAGAGGGAAACAACCCAGACCGCCAGCUAAGGUCCCAAAGUCAUGGUUAAGUGGGAAACGAUGUGGGAAGGCCCAGACAGCCAGGAUGUUGGCUUAGAAGCAGCCAUCAUUUAAAGAAAGCGUAAUAGCUCACUGGUCGAGUCGGCCUGCGCGGAAGAUGUAACGGGGCUAAACCAUGCACCGAAGCUGCGGCAGCGACACUAUGUGUUGUUGGGUAGGGGAGCGUUCUGUAAGCCUGUGAAGGUGUGCUGUGAGGCAUGCUGGAGGUAUCAGAAGUGCGAAUGCUGACAUAAGUAACGAUAAAGCGGGUGAAAAGCCCGCUCGCCGGAAGACCAAGGGUUCCUGUCCAACGUUAAUCGGGGCAGGGUGAGUCGACCCCUAAGGCGAGGCCGAAAGGCGUAGUCGAUGGGAAACAGGUUAAUAUUCCUGUACUUGGUGUUACUGCGAAGGGGGGACGGAGAAGGCUAUGUUGGCCGGGCGACGGUUGUCCCGGUUUAAGCGGGUAGGCUGGUUUUCCAGGCAAAUCCGGAAAAUCAAGGCUGAGGCGUGAUGACGAGGCACUACGGUGCUGAAGCAACAAAUGCCCUGCUUCCAGGAAAAGCCUCUAAGCAUCAGGUAACAUCAAAUCGUACCCCAAACCGACACAGGUGGUCAGGUAGAGAAUACCAAGGCGCUUGAGAGAACUCGGGUGAAGGAACUAGGCAAAAUGGUGCCGUAACUUCGGGAGAAGGCACGCUGAUAUGUAGGUGAAGUCCCUCGCGGAUGGAGCUGAAAUCAGUCGAAGAUACCAGCUGGCUGCAACUGUUUAUUAAAAACACAGCACUGUGCAAACACGAAAGUGGACGUAUACGGUGUGACGCCUGCCCGGUGCCGGAAGGUUAAUUGAUGGGGUUAGCGCAAGCGAAGCUCUUGAUCGAAGCCCCGGUAAACGGCGGCCGUAACUAUAACGGUCCUAAGGUAGCGAAAUUCCUUGUCGGGUAAGUUCCGACCUGCACGAAUGGCGUAAUGAUGGCCAGGCUGUCUCCACCCGAGACUCAGUGAAAUUGAACUCGCUGUGAAGAUGCAGUGUACCCGCGGCAAGACGGAAAGACCCCGUGAACCUUUACUAUAGCUUGACACUGAACAUUGAGCCUUGAUGUGUAGGAUAGGUGGGAGGCUUGGAAGUGUGGACGCCAGUCUGCAUGGAGCCGACCUUGAAAUACCACCCUUUAAUGUUUGAUGUUCUAACGUUGACCCGUGAUCCGGGUUGCGGACAGUGUCUGGUGGGUAGUUUGACUGGGGCGGUCUCCUCCUAAAGAGUAACGGAGGAGCACGAAGGUUGGCUAAUCCUGGUCGGACAUCAGGAGGUUAGUGCAAUGGCAUAAGCCAGCUUGACUGCGAGCGUGACGGCGCGAGCAGGUGCGAAAGCAGGUCAUAGUGAUCCGGUGGUUCUGAAUGGAAGGGCCAUCGCUCAACGGAUAAAAGGUACUCCGGGGAUAACAGGCUGAUACCGCCCAAGAGUUCAUAUCGACGGCGGUGUUUGGCACCUCGAUGUCGGCUCAUCACAUCCUGGGGCUGAAGUAGGUCCCAAGGGUAUGGCUGUUCGCCAUUUAAAGUGGUACGCGAGCUGGGUUUAGAACGUCGUGAGACAGUUCGGUCCCUAUCUGCCGUGGGCGCUGGAGAACUGAGGGGGGCUGCUCCUAGUACGAGAGGACCGGAGUGGACGCAUCACUGGUGUUCGGGUUGUCAUGCCAAUGGCACUGCCCGGUAGCUAAAUGCGGAAGAGAUAAGUGCUGAAAGCAUCUAAGCACGAAACUUGCCCCGAGAUGAGUUCUCCCUGACCCUUUAAGGGUCCUGAAGGAACGUUGAAGACGACGACGUUGAUAGGCCGGGUGUGUAAGCGCAGCGAUGCGUUGAGCUAACCGGUACUAAUGAACCGUGAGGCUUAACCUU
rnacentral:rRNA from 1 species